UAGUGGCGAACGGGUGAGUAACACGUGGGCAAUCUGCCCUGCACUCUGGGACAAGCCCUGGAAACGGGGUCUAAUACCGGAUGACACUCUUUCCUGCAUGGGAAAGGGUUGAAAGCUCCGGCGGUGCAGGAUGAGCCCGCGGCCUAUCAGCUUGUUGGUGGGGUGAUGGCCUACCAAGGCGACGACGGGUAGCCGGCCUGAGAGGGCGACCGGCCACACUGGGACUGAGACACGGCCCAGACUCCUACGGGAGGCAGCAGUGGGGAAUAUUGCACAAUGGGCGAAAGCCUGAUGCAGCGACGCCGCGUGAGGGAUGACGGCCUUCGGGUUGUAAACCUCUUUCAGCAGGGAAGAAGCGAAAGUGACGGUACCUGCAGAAGAAGCGCCGGCUAACUACGUGCCAGCAGCCGCGGUAAUACGUAGGGCGCAAGCGUUGUCCGGAAUUAUUGGGCGUAAAGAGCUCGUAGGCGGUUUGUCACGU
rnacentral:rRNA from 1 species